ACCUCCAUGUCUGCACCCGCCUGCUCGCAUCCGCUUCGACGGUGCCGUUGCCAUCCUCCUGGCUGAUGACGCCAUCCACAAGCUCCUUCCGCCGCAAGGUCGACGAUGCCAUCUAAGUUCCCAGGUAUCCAGCCCUACGCCGCCACCUCCGAUCCCCUCCCCCUCUUUUGCCGCUCCGCGCAUCAACAGUGCCACCAUUCUCCUUGCGCCUAUAGCGCACUGCCCCUCCUUCGAGAGAUGCGGGUGUGGAUGAGCGCCGUAUCCUUUGUUUGCUACCCAGCCACCACGGAGACGGAACCGUUGUCGGUGGCAUGCCCUCCUUAGGUUGAACAUGGACGCGGAUAUGAUGGCUGGAGGAAUCGUCGGAGCGCGGCGUAAGCGAAGCCAGGAGGGGAGGGGAAGUGCGUGCAUGUCUUCCGCACGCACCAUCUUGCCCUACCUGGUGUUGGAUGGCUGGUCGCCCGGUCGGACGAGGGCUGCCGGAUGUUGGCUGAUGUCAAGCGGCUCAUUGUCACAGGUGCGUAUUGACCUUACCUAGCCAUAGUUAUGUUACUUAUUUUUUCUGGUUCAGAGGCUCAAAGGGGCUCAAGCUAAGUGCUUAAAUGUGAAGUUGCAAGUAGAUGCUUUAUAAACUGAUGAAGCAAAGAUAUGUAUGCACAUUGUUUGAGUCAUCGCUAACAGAAGAAGGAAAAAGGCUAAUCUAUCCAAAGAGUUGUAUCGGAUUCUAGGCAAAGGUUUACAAAAGAAGAAGCAAUUAGACAGACAAAGGCCUAAGCGAGCACCUUUGAUCCUUGGGGUUCAUUGAAUCUUUCCUUCACAGGUUGUUUCUCUUUUUUUUUUUAAUGGUAAAGUUUUGCAAAUAUGAGGGUAUUAUUUGACUACAGAGUGGAUGGGGAUAUUUCAACCUGGAUCAUAUAAGUAAACUUAAGGACAAGGUAAAUUCAUGUUCAUGGGUCUAUGCAGUAUGGAUCUUCCAACCAGCUCAUAUCAGUUACUCUGUGCAUCUUUAUUGUCCACAUUGAAUAAAGAAAGAAAAUAACAUGAGUUCUUGCCAUAUUUCAGCACACAAACAAUGAGGUCAGGUAUCAUGUUCCUUUCAUCUUCAUAAUAUUUUUCGCAAAAAAAUAUUGUACAGCUUUUCAGGUUCAUUUGGCAUCAAAUUGAGAUCUCUGUUUAUUUCUGCAAAUCAGUCUGUACAGGUUCAGACUACUGAGACUACAGAUACAAUUUGCUUGAAACCAAUGAAACAUACCAUAGAUCAUGAUUGUAAAACAUAGCAGAUUUUAGAGCUGCUGGCAAAGAAAAGUUUAUAUUGUAGGUAGCUCUGAUUUGUUAAAUGAUUCACUGUCAAAAUUGUUGUUAGAUGUUAACGACUUAAGGCAUUCUUCUUUGUGCAUAUUAACAUAACCUCUGAUUUAUAUGAUGUUUUAUUGCAUAGUAAUCGUCUUAGGCUGUUUUGACAUGGGUGAAAGGGGGAUGAUCAAAAUGAACUUUAGCAACUAUGUUUACAUCUUGGGAGAAUCCUGUGGCCGGGAUGGUGGUAGCUUGAAAUAGUGGUUGUAGUUCUUGACAGUUGUUAGUUGGGUUUUCAUCAAGGAAACAGAUGUUAUUAGAUUGUUUAGUAGUUCAAAAAUUGCAAUAUCCGGACACUACUGCGCUAGCUUCUUCAGUUUUUUACUACUUUUUGUGAAAGAUUUUGAAAUAGAGAACCGACAAUAUAUUUGAUGUAAAAUGGCGAGGGAGAAUUUUUAUUUAAAAGAAGUUAUGGAAAUAUAUUUUUCUGAAUAUAAUGAAGUGCAGAUUGUACUGCAAAAAAAAAUCAUGUUCCAGGCAUGUUCAUUAUCCCUUAGAAUUUUGUAUUUGUUUUAGCCCUCAUGGGAUGCUAUAUUGGAUUCAAACUUACUAUGUGAUCUAUACAGGAUUGGGGUUCAUGUGUCUCUGGACUUAAUAUUCUAAUACAUGCUAAUGGUCUCAUCUCUACUCACGUUUUUAUGUCCUGAUAUGGAUGAAUAACUUACGAUUUCAUUACGCUGUCAGAUGAGCAGUGAAGAUUUCAGAGCUAGGUAAUGUAUAAUUGCCAGUUUAUUUUCCUAAUAUGGAGGCGAACGAUAUAUUAGUAUCUGCUCUAUAAUAUACUCAUUGUUAAUUUUCUCUAGAGGAUCUGAUGUUGCUAACAAUGACACUUCAUUCUGCAAUACUUAUAUGCCAUCUGACAUGAGUGAUUUUGGGUUGUUCUAUUACUAUUUGUGCUAUAGAAUUUUGGUUUACAAAAAUGUUAUGUUCGUAUUUCUUAACAUCAUAUCAUAUCAUAAGAUGUUAUUCAUCAUUUGGUAACGUCUUCACAUUGUAAUUUGUUGAGAUUUACUUUCGUUGUACUCUUUUAUGUUAUACUACCUUGUUGAACCAAAUCCAUGGAAGAAAUUUUAGUGAGGAUAGUUAGCUGUCACCACUGAAAAUUGGUGCUUCAUUGCUUACUUGCGGGUUUUGCAGGUUCUUUUCUUUAGAGUUUUUUAUUUGUUUUUGCAGGAGACUAGCAAGGCAAUAUACUACAGAUUGGUCACAAGGUGAGGAUAUAGCAUGCAAACUUUUGGCCAAUAUACUACAAAAUUUAUGACGAGUAUUGAAGUGAAGACAGCUGGUAUUAGCUUGUGGACCUUAGUCCUUACAUAUGGUGUCAAGCUAACUACAUCUUAGGACCAUCAUUUUUCGAAGUUCUUCUGAUUUGUGUUUUAGCAAAAUAGCAUAUCAUUUCUGAUCAUACAGAUGAAUUCUCACAGCAAACAUGAAUUGUUGUUGUCGGAUCAAGUUUAUUUUUCAUGCUUUGACUUCAAAGGGCAAAUAUAUUCAGACGUUUGUGUAAGUUUUAA